rnacentral:piRNA from 1 species
UAUUAAAUGGGGACAUAUAGUCAUCGGUC